UAGGGAAUCUUCGGCAAUGGGGGCAACCCUGACCGAGCAACGCCGCGUGAGUGAAGAAGGUUUUCGGAUCGUAAAGCUCUGUUGUAAGAGAAGAACGUGUGUGAGAGUGGAAAGUUCACACAGUGACGGUAACUUACCAGAAAGGGACGGCUAACUACGUGCCAGCAGCCGCGGUAAUACGUAGGUCCCGAGCGUUGUCCGGAUUUAUUGGGCGUAAAGCGAGCGCAGGCGGUUUUAUAAGUCUGAAGUUAAAGGCAGUGGCUUAACCAUUGUUCGCUUUGGAAACUGUUAAACUUGAGUGCAGAAGGGGAGAGUGGAAUUCCAUGUGUAGCGGUGAAAUGCGUAGAUAUAUGGAGGAACACCGGUGGCGAAAGCGGCUCUCUGGUCUGUAACUGACGCUGAGGCUCGAAAGCGUGGGGAGCAAACAGG
rnacentral:rRNA from 1 species